GCGGUGGAGCAUGUGGUUUAAUUCGAAGCAACGCGAAGAACCUUACCAGGUCUUGACAUCCCUGACAACCCGAGAGAUCGGGCGUUCCCCUUCGGGGGACAGGGUGACAGGUGGUGCAUGGUUGUCGUCAGCUCGUGUCGUGAGAUGUUGGGUUAAGUCCCGCAACGAGCGCAACCCUCGACCUUAGUUGCCAGCAUUCAGUUGGGCACUCUAAGGUGACUGCCGGCUAAAAGUCGGAGGAAGGUGGGGAUGACGUCAAAUCAUCAUGCCCCUUAUGUUCUGGGCUACACACGUGCUACAAUGGCCGGUACAGACGGACGCAAAGCCGCGAGGCGGAGCAAAUCCGAAAAAGCCGGUCUCAGUUCGGAUUGCAGGCUGCAAUUCGCCUGCAUGAAGUCGGAAUCGCUAGUAAUCGCAGGUCAGCAUACUGCGGUGAAUACGUUCCCGGGCCUU
rnacentral:rRNA from 1 species